UUAAUUGAAGCCAAAACGCGGCUUGUCACUGUUAAUGACAUCAUUGAACUCUAGUUCCAAUUAAG
rnacentral:tRNA from 1 species